UGAGUGAAGAAGGUUUUCGGAUCGUAAAGCUCUGUUGUUAAGGAAGAACGUGUGUGAGAGUGGAAAGUUCACACAGUGACGGUACUUAACCAGAAAGGGACGGCUAACUACGUGCCAGCAGCCGCGGUAAUACGUAGGUCCCGAGCGUUGUCCGGAUUUAUUGGGCGUAAAGCGAGCGCAGGCGGUUAGAUAAGUCUGAAGUGAAAGGCAGUGGCUCAACCAUUGUAGGCUUUGGAAACUGUUUAACUUGAGUGCAGAAGGGGAGAGUGGAAUUCCAUGU
rnacentral:rRNA from 1 species